CAGGCCUAACACAUGCAAGUCGAACGGAAAGGCCCUGCUUUUGUGGGGUGCUCGAGUGGCGAACGGGUGAGUAACACGUGAGUAACCUGCCCUUGACUUUGGGAUAACUUCAGGAAACUGGGGCUAAUACCGGAUAGGAGCUCCUGCUGCAUGGUGGGGGUUGGAAAGUUUCGGCGGUUGGGGAUGGACUCGCGGCUUAUCAGCUUGUUGGUGGGGUAGUGGCUUACCAAGGCUUUGACGGGUAGCCGGCCUGAGAGGGUGACCGGCCACAUUGGGACUGAGAUACGGCCCAGACUCCUACGGGAGGCAGCGGUGGGGAAUAUUGCACAAUGGGCGGAAGCCUGAUGCAGCAACGCCGCGUGCGGGAUGACGGCCUUCGGGUUGUAAACCGCUUUCGCCUGUGACGAAGCGUGAGUGACGGUAAUGGGUAAAGAAGCACCGGCUAACUACGUGCCAGCAGCCGCGGUGAUACGUAGGGUGCGAGCGUUGUCCGGAUUUAUUGGGCGUAAAGGGCUCGUAGGUGGUUGAUCGCGUCGGAAGUGUAAUCUUGGGGCUUAACCCUGAGCGUGCUUUCGAUACGGGUUGACUUGAGGAAGGUAGGGGAGAAUGGAAUUCCUGGUGGAGCGGUGGAAUGCGCAGAUAUCAGGAGGAACACCAGUGGCGAAGGCGGUUCUCUGGGCCUUUCCUGACGCUGAGGAGCGAAAGCGUGGGGAGCGAACAGGCUUAGAUACCCUGGUAGUCCACGCUGUA
rnacentral:rRNA from 1 species